rnacentral:rRNA from 1 species
GACGAACGCUGGCGGCGUGCUUAACACAUGCAAGUCGAACGGCAAGGCCCUGCUUUUGUGGGGUGCUCGAGUGGCGAACGGGUGAGUAACACGUGAGUAACCUGCCCUUGACUUUGGGAUAACUUCAGGAAACUGGGGCUAAUACCGGAUAGGAGCUCCUGCUGCAUGGUGGGGGUUGGAAAGUUUCGGCGGUUGGGGAUGGACUCGCGGCUUAUCAGCUUGUUGGUGGGGUAGUGGCUUACCAAGGCUUUGACGGGUAGCCGGCCUGAGAGGGUGACCGGCCACAAUGGUACUGAGAUACGGCCCAGUGUCCUACGGGAGGCAGCAGUGGGGAAUAUUGCACAAUGGGCGGAAGCCUGAUGCAGCAACGCCGCGUGCGGGAUGACGGCCUUCGGGUUGUAAACCGCUUUCGCCUGUGACGAAGCGUGAGUGACGGUAAUGGGUAAAGAAGCACCGGCUAACUACGUG